GUGGACGUAUCGGAAGUGCGAAUGCUGACAUGAGUAGCGACAAACAGUGUGAGAUGCACUGUCGCCGAAAGCCCAAGGGUUCCUGCUUAAAGCUAAUCUGAGCAGGGUGAGUCGGCCCCUAAGACGAGCCCGAAGGGGGUAGUCGAUGGGAACACGGUUAAUAUUCCGUGACCUGGUGGAAUGUGACGGAUCUCGUGUGUUGUCUGAUCUUAUUGGAUUGAUCAGGCUUCGAAGAGGUUCCAGGAAAUAGCUCCACCGUAUAGACCGUACCCGAAACCGACACAGGUGGUCAGGUAGAGAAUACCAAGGCGCUUGAGAGAACUGCGUUGAAGGAACUCGGCAAAUUGCACGCGUAACUUCGGAAGAAGCGUGACCCUUUUCUGCGCAAGCAGAUGAGGGUGGCACAGACCAGGGGGUAGCGACUGUUUAUCAAAAACACAGGGCUCUGCGAAGUCGUAAGACGACGUAUAGGGCCUGACGCCUGCCCGGUGCCGGAAGGUUAAGAGGAGAGGUGCAAGCUUUGAAUCGAAGCCCCGGUAAACGGCGGCCGUAACAAUAACGGUCCUAAGGUA
rnacentral:rRNA from 12 species